GACGAACGCUGGCGGCGUGCUUAACACAUGCAAGUCGAACGGAAAGGCCCUGCUUUUGUGGGGUGCUCGAGUGGCGAACGGGUGAGUAACACGUGAGUAACCUUCCCUUGACUUUGGGAUAACUUCAGGAAACUUGGGCUCAUACCGGAUAGGAGCUCCUGCUGCAUGGUGGGGGUUGGAAAGUUUCGGCGGUUGGGGAUGGACUCGCGGCUUAUCAGCUUGUUGGUGGGGUAGUGGCUUACCAAGGCUUUGACGGGUAGCCGGCCUGAGAGGGUGACCGGCCACAUUGGGACUGAGGUACGGCGCAGACGCCUACGGGAGGCAGCAGUGGGGAAUAUUGCACAAUGGGGGGAAGCCUGAUGCAGCAACGCCGCGUGCGGGAUGACGGCCUUCGGGGUGUAAACCGCUUUCGCCUGUGACGAAGCGUGAGUGACGGUAAUGGGUAAAGAAGCACCGGCUAACUACGUG
rnacentral:rRNA from 1 species